AUUGAACGCUGGCGGCAGGCCUAACACAUGCAAGUCGAACGAGUGGUGGACGGGUGAGUAAUGUCUGGGAAACUGCCUGAUGGAGGGGGAUAACUACUGGAAACGGUAGCUAAUACCGCAUACCAUCAGAUGUGCCCAGAUGGGAUUAGCUUGUUGGUGGGGUAACGGCUAACCAGGGCGACGAUCCCUCGCUGGGCUGAGAGGAUGACCAGCCACACUGGAACUGAGAAACGGUCCAGACUCCUACGGGAGGCAGCGGUGGGGAAUAGGGCAAAAUGGGCGCAAGCGUGAUGCAGCCAUGCCGCGUGUAUGAAGAAGGCCUUCGGGUUGUAAAGUACUUUCAGCGGGGAGGCGUUACCCGCAGAAGAAGCACCGGCUAACUCCGUGCCAGCCGCCGCGGUAAUAC
rnacentral:rRNA from 1 species